AAUCAGAACGGAUUCUGUGACUUAAGGAUUGAGUCAGGACCCCCUCUGGAUGAGGUUGCAAGGAAAUCUUCAGGAUGAAGAAAGGAUGUCUCAGGAUGAGAUCAGGGACACCUCCAGGAUGGAGAAGUGAGCUGUCAAAGACGAUAGCGAGACAGGACGCAAGGGAUUAUCACCAGAAAGGUGAUUUGUAAGGAAAACUGGGGACAAAGUUAUCAAGGACGAGCAGGGAGCAUUAGCGUGGCGGGAUUGCUGCAAACGAACCGGGAGCACUGUUAUUACAGUGCUCCUUUUUUUUGUC
rnacentral:other from 1 species